UUACGGCCAUAUCACAUUGAAACACAGGUUUCUGUACGAUCACCGAAGUUAAGCAACGCCGAGCCUGGUCAUUAUCAAGACGGGCGAACCCUUGGAAAUAGCAGGUGAUGUAA